rnacentral:tRNA from 1 species
GCCUUCGUGGUGUAGUGGUCAGCACGCUCGACGCGUAACCGAGAGGUCAGUGGUUCGAUUCCCGCGAAGGCG